GUUGUCCGGAUUUAUUGGGUUUAAAGGGUGCGUAGGCGGUCUUUUAAGUCAGUGGUGAAAUACUCCAGCUUAACUGGAGGGGUGGCAUUGAUACUGGAAGACUUGAGUGCAGUCGAGGUAGGCGGAAUUGAUUGUGUAGCGGUGAAAUGCAUAGAUACAAUCAAGAACUCCGAUUGCGUAGGCAGCUAACUAGGCUGUAACUGACGCUGAGGCACGAAAGCGUGGGGAGCGAACAGG
rnacentral:rRNA from 1 species